AUUUCUUUAGUAUAAUACAGUACAAUUGCCUUCCAAGCACUUAGAUCCCACCAGGGAAAGAAAUA